rnacentral:rRNA from 1 species
GUGUCAGCCGCCGCGGUAAUACGAAGGGUGCAAGCGUUACUCGGAAUUACUGGGCGUAAAGCGUGCGCAGGCGGUUCGUUAAGUCUGCUGUGAAAGCCCUGGGCUCAACCUGGGAAUGGCAGUGGAUACUGGCGAGCUAGAGUACGGUAGAGGAAGGUGGAAUUCCCGGUGUAGCGGUGAAAUGCGUAGAGAUCGGGAGGAACACCAGUGGCGAAGGCGACCUUCUGGACCAGUACUGACGCUCAUGCACGAAAGCGUGGGGAGCAAACAGGAUUAGAAACCCGCGUAGUCC